rnacentral:sRNA from 1 species
GGCGCAGAAACAUAACAGCGUACCGGAUUGCCUUGUUAUGCGGAGCUCACGAGAGGGGUUGUGCAGUGAAACCUCAAACCGGAGUAGGUAAACACCGAAAGAAAAUGCUCA